GAAGGAUGGAGGGUGUGGGUGACAGCAGCACUCAGGCCACCGCCUGGCAGAGGCAGCUAGCAAAGGGGAGGUCAUGAAAGCCGUGUGUGUGUGGGUGGAGGGGGGCUGAGGAAGGAGGGCCCCUCCAUCUCCUGGUCUUUUCCAUCCAUCAUUUGAGGGCGUAGACACCAGGAGUUGGCUCAUACCUGAUACCAUCCCAUGUUUACACGAAGGGAUAGGUCUCAAACUGUGGAGCCUGGACUGACCUCUCACCAUUGCCUGGAAACGUGUUAGCAAUGCAGAAUCCCAGGCCCUACCCAGACCCACGGAAUCAGAAACUAUGGGGCGAGGAACAACGGGUGUUGCACCAAGCCAUUCAGGUGAUUCUGAUGCCCCCGAAGGUUUGAGAACUGCCGCUGUAAUUAUGUUGAACUGAACUUCAACUGUAAUUAUGUUGAACUGAACUUCAACUGAGUGGCCCUGCACAGACCGUGGAUAUAGAAGAAGGCUGCUGUAACACCAGGUCUUGGGGUGAAUCUUCAUGUGAUCUUCGGAACAAGGAUACUUGGCUUGGAUCCCAGCCCAGACACCCUGCACCUAUAGGAUGGGGACCUUGGCCCUGACCUCAGGAUGGACAUCAACUGGGAGUGGCCCAGAAGCCCGAAGCUGAGAGGACAAAGCUCACUGGGCACAGGAAAAGAGAGUGGAGGGGCUGCUGCCCCAGGAAGGCUGGGCCCACCCCUCCUCACAGGCACCCUGAUGCCUGUUCAGCUUGGCUCUCUGGAUGACAGGCAGAAGCCCCAGUUGCUUCUCUUCUCCACGGUGAUUUCUGCAUACUUUAUCCAAACCCCCUCCCCACCGCUGUUCAGUUUCUGGCUCCUCUUCCUGCCCGUGCUCUGAGGCCAGCUGGGGGCCUCCCAGGUGACUCCUGCUGCUGCUGUCACUGGACCCUGACGCUGUGCCGCACCCGAAUUCCUCCGAAUGGAGCCUUGGCCAGAGCAAGGCGUGCCGUGUAGAGGAGCGGAUCUGAGCCUGGCAGGAGAUCGCUAAAACCUUUGCCCUUCACACAAACGCGGAAGCACGGGGCGGGUGCUGAAGAGCCAAGCAAGUGUCCCCCAUUUCCUUCCAAGGCAGAGCAGCAGCCCAGGGAGGCCCAGUUUCCAUCGCGGCAGAAGGGCAGAAGAGUGGGGGAGGUCCCAGGACCACAGCCCAGGGGACACUCAGGAUGCGCCAGGAAGGACAUGGCAGACAGGCCCUUUAGGUGGAAAAGCAACCCUCAGCUGCCCAGAGAGCGGCCCCUCCAGGCCCUCCCCGCCGUCUGCAAAGCUCUUCAGCUGGGAGAGGAGGAAAGGGUUUGUUCUUGACCUCCUUCCUUUCCUUUCUUCUCCACUGUCCACCAGAGAGCAGGAAGACAGGCUGAUGCUCUUGUUAAAGAUGAAGGCAUAAUUCACAUGCCAUAAAAUUCACCAUUUUAACCAUUUUAAGGUGCACAGUUCAGUGGUUUUGAGUGCAUUACAUUGUUGGGCAACCAUCAGCAUGGUCUAAUUCCAAAACAUUUCUGUCACUCCAAAAAGAAAUCUUGUACCCAUUAGCAGUCACUCCCCAUUUCCCCCUACCCCCCAGCCCCCCGGCACCCACGAAGGUGCUUUCUCUGUUUCGAGGGAUCUUCCUAUUGUGGCAAAUCCUCUGAAUGGAAUCAUACAAUAUGUGGUCUUCUGCCACUGGCUUCUUUCACUGACCAUAAUUUUUCAAGGUUCACCCACGUUGUAGCAUGCGUCAGCGCUUCAUUCCUUUCCAUGGCUGGACUGUAUUUCAUUGUAUGUCUGGACCACAUUCUGUUUCUCUAGUCAUCAGUUGAUUACUUACUUUUCAGGGCCCACUUAGCCUUUCUUCCCAAGGGCAGGGGCUCUGUUGUCCACUGUUUUGGAGUCUUCCAGCAGACUUGAUGGAGUGUACCAGUGGUUUCCUUGCUGGGCAAAUAACCAGAGGGUCCCUGGGUACGGGAAUCUCUGAGUCCUGAUCUUUGGCUCUGCUGCAGACCAGGUCACUGUAUGAUCUUUUAGCAGCCUCUUUACCUCACCUGGCCUCAGUUUCUUCAUCUGAAAAAUGAAGGGCUUGAAGCAGAUGGUCUCUAACACUUCUCCUGGCCCAACACUUUAAGAUGUUUCAGCAAAGCAGUGAAGAAGCAGCCUUCUGUGACCUUUCUGAACAAGGCAGAGGAAAGCAAGCUGUAGGCUGACAUAGUUAGGUGAUUCCAUAACAAAAUUGCGCUGUAAACAAUCAUCUGGAUCAAUCGACAGAAGGCACUUGCAACAGGUUCCCAGAUGACAGAAAACUAUAGGAAUGACAGGGAAGGAAUGAUGGGGCAGAUUAAAAUGGAGAAAUUUAACAGGGACAAAUGUAAAAGUCGGACAUUUUGCUCCAAAGUUCAACAGAACAGCUACCUGCUUUGUUGGAUAUGUUCAGGCAGUGUCCUUUAUAAGAGUUUGAUUGACUCUAAAUGAAUCUCAUUAUGAGUCACCAUUGGGACAGGCUGCCAAAAGGCCAAUGUGACUUCAGAUUAAAUCAAUAGAGGUCUACUGGCUGAAACAAGGGAGGUGACAUUAUUGAGUCCAUCCCUGGUGUAUGUAGCUGCUACCCUCUGAGAAGGAGGCCCCCAAUAGGAAAAGCCAGAGGGAGGAUGGAUAAGACAUGAAGAGCUCUAGAACCAUGGUUUGGUAGUAGGAGGGGCUCAGGGUUUGGGUCUUUAAAAGAUAAGACAGAGAGUGCUGUUCACAUCUGUGAAGGAACAUGGCAUGAGAAGGGGAGUUGACUUCCACCAUGGGGACCUGCAGGGUGACUGGGGCUGGAAGAUGAUCAAUUGUGACCCAGGACCAGGAAGAACUUCGCAGCAACAAAAGUCACAGGAAAUGGAAAAAACUCCUGGUGAAGAACACAG
rnacentral:lncRNA from 10 species